rnacentral:ncRNA from 2 species
AUUCGGCCCGGAGAUGGCAUUGCUCCCCGAACCGCCGCCUGUUGCGGCUGAUCAUGCCUACGGUGAC